UGGUAAAAGAUCCUUUCCAUGCUAACUGUUUACCAGUUCACAUAGGAACGUUGGUGGAGCUCGGAAAAUCAAAUGAGUUAUUUUACCUCUCACACAGACUUGUAGACUUGUACCCAAACAAUCCAGUAUCCUGGUUUGCUGUCGGCUGCUACUAUCUUAUGGUUGGCAACAAAAACGAACACGCUCGGCGUUACCUUAG